GAUGAACGCUAGCGGCAGGCUUAAUACAUGCAAGUCGAGGGGCAGCACGGUUAGCAAUAACUGGUGGCGACCGGCGCACGGGUGCGUAACACGUAUACAAUCUACCUUAAACGAGGGGAUAGCCUUUCGAAAGAGAGAUUAAUACCCGUAAUAAAUUGAACGGCAUCGUUUGAUUUUGAAAGCUCCGGCGGUUUGAGAUGAGUAUGCGUCUGAUUAGCUAGUUGGUGAGGUAACGGCUCACCAAGGCGACGAUCAGUAGGGGAUCUGAGAGGACUAACCCCCACACUGGUACUGAGAC
rnacentral:rRNA from 1 species